rnacentral:rRNA from 1 species
UACGUAGGGUCCGAGCGUUGUCCGGAAUUAUUGGGCGUAAAGAGCUCGUAGGCGGUUUGUCGCGUCUGCUGUGAAAUCCCGAGGCUCAACCUCGGGCCUGCAGUGGGUACGGGCAGACUGGAGUGCGGUAGGGGAGAAUGGAAUUCCUGGUGUAGCGGUGGAAUGCGCAGAUAUCAGGAGGAACACCGAUUGCGAAGGCAGUUCUCUGGGCCGUAACUGACGCUGAGGAGCGAAAGCAUGGGGAGCGAACAGG